rnacentral:sRNA from 1 species
GCCAGGAGAUGCCCAUGUGAUGAAGUCACAUAUAAAAAUGGCAUCGACGACAUCUCACAUUGCGGUGCAAUGUGAGAGUACCAACA